AGCUCCAUAGUGUAGUGGUUAGCAUGUCUGCUUUACAUGCAGAAGGUCUGGGGUUCAAGCCCCAGGUGGAGCCA
rnacentral:tRNA from 1 species